rnacentral:rRNA from 1 species
GAUGAACGCUGGCGGCGUGCCUAACACAUGCAAGUCGAACGGACAUUUUUUGGAAAGCUCUUCGGAACUGGAAUCUAAAUGUUAGUGGCGGACGGGUGAGUAACGCGUGAGCAAUCUGCCUUUCAGAGGGGGAUAACAGCCGGAAACGGCUGCUAAUACCGCAUAAUGCAUCGGAUUCGCAUGUUUCUGAUGCCAAAGAUUUUAUCGCUGAAAGAUGAGCUCGCGUCUGAUUAGCUAGUUGGCGGGGUAACGGCCCACCAAGGCGACGAUCAGUAGCCGACCUGAGAGGGUGAUCGGCCACAUUGGAACUGAGACACGGUCCAA